rnacentral:rRNA from 1 species
CUACGUGCCAGCAGCCGCGGUAAUACGGAAGGUCCAGGCGUUAUCCGGAUUUAUUGGGUUUAAAGGGAGCGUAGGCCGUGGAUUAAGCGUGUUGUGAAAUGUAGACGCUCAACGUCUGAAUUGCAGCGCGAACUGGUUCACUUGAGUAUGCACAACGUAGGCGGAAUUCGUCGUGUAGCGGUGAAAUGCUUAGAUAUGACGAAGAACUCCGAUUGCGAAGGCAGCUUACGGGAGCACAACUGACGCUGAAGCUCGAAGGUGCGGGUAUCAAACAGGAUUAGAUACCCUGGUAGUCCGCACAGUAAACGAUGGAUGCCCGUUGUUAGUUCACCUAAGAAUUAGCGACCAAGCGAAAGCAUUAAGCAUCCCACCUGGGGAGUACGCCGGCAACGGUGAAACUCAAAGGAAUUGACGGGGGCCCGCACAAGCGGAGGAACAUGUGGUUUAAUUCGAUGAUACGCGAGGAACCUUACCCGGGCUUGAAUUGCAGACGAACGAUUCAGAGA